rnacentral:rRNA from 1 species
GGGGUUGGUCUGAGAUGCAGCUAGUGGCGACGGGUGAGUAACACGUGGGCAAUCUGCCCUGCACUCUGGGACAAGCCCUGGAAACGGGGCAAAACCGGAUACUGAUCCUCGCAGGCAUCUGCGAGGUUCUAAAGCUCCGGCGGUGCAGGAUGAGCCCGCGGCCUAUCAGCUAGUUGGUGAGGUAACGGCUCACCAAGGCGACGACGGGUAGCCGGCCUGAGAGGGCGACCGGCCACACUGGGACUGAGACACGGCCCAGACUCCUACGGGAGGCAGCAGUGGGGAAUAUUGCACAAUGGGCGAAAGCCUGAUGCAGCGACGCCGCGUGAGGGAUGACGGCCUUCGGGUUGUAAACCUCUUUCAGCAGGGAAGAAGCGGAAGUGACGGUACCUGCAGAGGAAGCGCCCGGCUAACUACGUGCCAGCAGCCGCGGUAAUACGUAGGGCGCAAGCGUUGUCCGGAAUUAUUGGGCGUU